rnacentral:tRNA from 1 species
GGGGAUGUGGUGUAGGGGUUACUGUAUCAUACUUCAUUUGCAUUGAAGAGGCCAUGAGUUCAAUUCUUGUCAUCUCCA